rnacentral:rRNA from 1 species
GUCUAUGGACAUACCACGUUGAAAAUACCCCCUCUCGUCCGAUCCCUGAAGUUAACCAACGUCGGGCAGAAUCAGUACCUGGGAGGUAGACCACUUGGGAACACUCGGUGUCGUAAACU